UACAGUAAGAAUCGAAAAUCAAAAUUACCAACACAGCAGUUAAAAUCGGGAGAAACGUGGGGAACAACCACUGAACUUAGUGAUGGUGAUGUUCGACGGAUUCAAGACCUUUACCGUUGUAUUGGAACCGAUCAAAAGCCAAAUUUUCCUUUCGAUGUCUUUUGUUCUUUCGAUACAAAUAAUUGCGGAUUCAAAUUUGCCCGAAGAUUCUUCAUUGAAGGAGCAUGGAGGUGGAUUCCUAAAGAAGACGAGAAAGGUGGAUUCCUGAAAAGCGAGUUCCAAAUAAAAAGUAACCAAAACCCCCACAUCUGGAGUAUCAACUUCUAUGGAUUGAGCCCACUCGACAAAAAGCGCGGACCGGAGGGCUGCGUCAGCUUCAUCUAUCGAAUUUCUUCAAAACACAU
rnacentral:lncRNA from 1 species